UUNUGAACUGGGUGACUAGAGUGUNUCAGAGGGAGGUAGAAUUCCACGUGUAGCAGUGAAAUGCGUAGAGAUGUGGAGGANUACCGAUGGCGAAGGCAGCCUCCUGGGAUAACACUGACGUUCAUGCCCGAAAGCGUGGGUAGCAAACAGGAUUAGAUACCCUGGUAGUCCACGCCNUAAACGAUGUCGAUUAGCUGUUGGGCAGCAUGAUUGCUUGGUAGCGAAGCUAACGCGUGAAAUCGACCGCCUGGGGAGUACGGUCGCAAGAUUAAAACUCAAAGGAAUUGACGGGGACCCGCACAAGCGGUGGAUGAUGUGGAUUAAUUCGAUGCAACGCGAAGAACCUUACCUGGUCUUGACAUGUACGGAACCCUCCAGAGACGGAGGGGUGCCUUCGGGAGCCGUAACACAGGUGCUGCAUGGCUGUCGUCAGCUCGUGUCGUGAGAUGUUGGGUUAAGUCCCGCAACGAGCGCAACCCUUGUCAUUAGUUGCCAUCAUUAAGUUGGGCACUCUAAUGAGACUGCCGGUGACAAGCCGGAGGAGGGUGGGGAUGACGUCAAGUCCUCAUGGCCCUUAUGACCAGGGCUUCACACGUCAUACAAUGGUCGGUACAGAGGGUAGCCAAGCCGCGAGGUGGAGCCAAUCUCACAAAACCGAUCGUAGUCCGGAUUGCACUCUGCAACUCGAGUGCAUGAAGUCGGAAUCGCUAGUAAUCGCAGGUCAGCAUACUGCGGUGAAUACGUUCCCGGGUCUUG
rnacentral:rRNA from 1 species